rnacentral:rRNA from 1 species
CCCAGUGACUCUUUUAAACGGCCGCGGUAUCCUAACCGUGCAAAGGUAGCAUAAUCACUUGUCUCUUAAAUAGAGACUAGAAUGAAUGGCUAAAUGAGGACUAAUCUGUCUCUUACGGACCAACCAAUGAAAUUAAUCUUUCAGUACAAAAGCUGAAAUAAAAACAUAAGACGAGAAGACCCUGUGGAGCUUCAAACCAAACACACCCUGCAUGCUCCUCAGGUUUUUAGUUGGGGCGACUUCGGAGCACAAUAAAACCUCCAAAAUUUUUUAUCUUCAAGAUUAACAAACCAAAAACUUUAUUAGACCCAGCAAUGUAUAACAUUGUCUGACCACUGAACCAAGUUACCCCAGGGAUAACAGCGCCAUCCCCUCCUAGAGUUCAUAUCGACAAGGGGGUUUACGACCUCGAUGUUGGAUCAGGACACCCCAAUGGUGCAGCCGCCAUUAAAGGUUCGUUUGUUCAACGAUUAAUUAGUCC